UGCAAGGUGGAGAGCUUAAAAGCUCCUUUUGUGCUAGAUUUCCUGGCACAGAAAGAGCUUUUAAGCUCUCUACUUUGCU